AUCUAUCUAUCUAUCUAUCUAUCUAUCUAUCUAUCUAUCUAUCUCUAGCAUGACUAACAUGCACAUUAAAGCAAUGCACAAAAAAGAUGUUAGAGGCUCGGCCGCGGUUAGUGACUAGCACGACUAACAUGCAGAUGAAAGCAAUGCACAAAAAAGAUGCUAGAGGCUCGUCCGCGGUGGUCCGGUUUGGCGCCGACGGAGAUACAAGAGCGUCUAGCACGACUUAACAUGCAGAUUAAAACAAUGCACAAAAAAAGAUGCUAGAGGCUCGGCCGCGGUAAGUCGCUAGCCAGCUAACAUGCAGAUUAAAGCAAUGCACAAAAAAGAUGCUAGAGGCUCGGCCGCUGUGGUCCGGUUUGGCGCCGACGGUGAUACAAGAGUCUCUAGCACGACUAACAUGCAUAUUAAAGCAAUGCACAAAAAAGAUGCUAAAGGCUCGACCGCUGCUUGGCCGCGGUUAGUGACUAGCACGACUAACAUGCAGAUUAAAACAAUGCACAAAAAAGAUGCUAGAGGCUCGGCCGCGGUGGUCCGGUUUGGCGCCGACGGUGAUACAAGAGUCUCUAGCACGACUAAACAUGCAGAUUAAAACAAUGCACAAAAAAGAUGCUAGAGACUCGGCCGCGGUAAUCCAUGAUGGCGGCCAUGGUGACAGGAGUCUCUAGCAGGACUUACAUGCAGAUUAAAGCAAUGCACGAAAAAUACGCUAUAGGCUCAGCCGUGGUACUCCAUGACGGCGGCCACGGUGACAGGAGUCUCUAGCACAACUGAAAUACAGACUAAAAAGAUCUGUGAAGAAGACCCUACAGGCUCGGCCGUGGUGUUCCAGGAUGGUGCCCACGAUGACAUGAGUCUCUAGCACAACUGACAUACCGACUAAAAAGAUCUGUGAAGAAGACGCUAAAGGCUCGGCUGUGGUACUGCAUGACGGCGACCACAGUGACGUGAGUCUUUAGCACGACUAACAUCGUGACUCAAAGAUCUGCGAAGAAGACGCUACAGGCUCGGCCGUGGUACCCCAUGACGGCGAUCACGGUGAUGUGAGUCUCUAGCAUGACUGACAUACGGACUAAAAAGAUCUACGAAGAAGAUGCUACAGGCUCGGCCGUGGUACUCCAUGACGGCGACCACGGUGACUUGAGUCUCUAGCACGACUAAAAAGAUCUAUGAAGAAGAUGCUACAGACUCGGCCAGCAAGACUGACAUACUGACUAAAAAGAUCUGCGAAGAAGACGCUACAGGCUCGGCCGUGGUACUCCAUGACGGUGGCCAUGGUGACGUGAGUCUAUAGCAUGACUGACAUACAGACUUAAAGAUCUGCGAAGAAGACGCUACAGGAUCGACAGUGGGUGACCACAGCUGUUGGAGCCUCUGGUGCAACAAUAAUGAACGUGGCCUGCCACAUUACCAGAGCUAACCGGUGUGGCCCUAGCACGGAGACACAAGAGUAGGAAUGGCUCUUGGAGUCAAACCCAGUGUACUGGCUGUGGCCAAAGUGGGCUUCUAAAGGGAAAUCACCGCUAACAUGAUAUAAGAUGAAGAAGACAAUGCCGUUGAUGGAGUGUCGGGUGGAUUGUGAGACCUUCAUCGUUCUUCAGCCAGGCGCUCAGCAAUCUGUGUGCUAAGCUGCAGCUGCGACUGUGUGUGUUCGAGCUAUGCAGCGUUGCAUCAAAGUCUGCUAUCUGAAUUGCUGCCACGGCUUCCCUAUGACCCCGAGACAGCAAAAUAAACACAUUUGAUGCCAAAUGUGAUCCCAAGAACAUAACCUCUGGCUAUUUUUAACUUUUUGUUUAUUU